AGAUUGAUCCUUACUCAUUCGAUCCGAGUCCUUGAAAAUACGGAUAUAAAAAACUCGGACCGAACUCGGAUAUUACUUACCCACUAAUCCGAUCUCUGAUCCAAAUCCAAGCUAUUCAGCAGACAUCUUUGACAUACGAGUAUCUACGUCACACGUUCUUUAAAAU